rnacentral:rRNA from 1 species
AUUGAACGCUGGCGGCAGGCUUAACACACGCAAGUCGAGCGGGGGAAGGUAGCUUGCUACCGGACCUAGCGGCGGACGGGUGAGUAAUGCUUAGGAAUCUGCCUAUUAGUGGGGGACAACAUCUCGAAAGGGAUGCUAAUACCGCAUACGUCCUACGGGAGAAAGCAGGGGAUCUUCGGACCUUGCGCUAAUAGAUGAGCCUAAGUCGGAUUAGCUAGUUGGUGGGGUAAAGGCCUACCAAGGCGACGAUCUGUAGCGGGUCUGAGAGGAUGAUCCGCCACAAUGGGACUGAGACACGGCCCAGACUCCUACGGGAGGCAGCAGUGGGGAAUAUUGGACAAUGGGGGGAACCCUGAUCCAGCCAUGCCGCGUGUGUGAAGAAGGCCUUAUGGUUGUAAAGCACUUUAAGCGAGGAGGAGGCUACUUUAGUUAAUACCUAGAGAUAGUGGACGUUACUCGCAGAAUAAGCACCGGCUAACUCUGUGCCAGCCGCCGCCGUAA